rnacentral:tRNA from 1 species
GCCGAAGUGGCGGAAUUGGCAGACGCGCUAGGUUCAGGACCUAGUGGGGGUUACACCCCGUGGGGGUUCGAGUCCCCCCUUCGGCA